CUUCUUCUUCUUUUUUUUAAAGCCUUACUAGAUUUUUUAUUGGUUCUUUUUAAAUUAUACAUGGCACUAGAGUCCAUUUUAAUAAAAUUAACAUAAUUCUAAACAGAGAAAAACUGAAAGCAUUCCCUCUAAAAACUGGAACAAGAUAGGGAUGACCUGUUUUUACCACUUCUAUUCAACAGUCCUUGAAACUAUAGCCAGCAAUUAGACAGAAAAAGACACUAGAGGGAUACAGAUAGGAAAAGAAGAGCUCAAACCAUCUCUGUUUGCCAACAACAUGAUCCUAUAUUUAGGAGACCCCCAAAAAUUCCACCAGGAAACUUCUAGAAGUCAUAAACGAAUUCAGCAAAGUAGCAGGAUGCAAAACGAGCACCCACAAAUCAAUUGCGUUGUUAUACACCAAUGACGAAUUAGGGGAAAGAGAAAUUAGGAAAACUGUCCCAUUCACAAGAGCCUCCAACCAAUAAAUAAACAGAAAAACUAAACAAAUCAAAGCAACAACAACAGAAACCCUUGGUAACCAGGGGUGAAAGACCUCUACAACGAAAACUACAGAACAGUAAAGAAAAAAAUCGAAGGACUUACAAGAUGGAAAUCUCUCCCAAGUUCUUGGAGAGGCAGAAUUCAUAUUGUCAGAAGGGUCAUGUUACCAAGUGUGCUGUACAGAUUUCAUGCAAUUUCUAUUGAAUUCCAGUGGCGUUCUUCAUAGAAAUAGAAAAGGCAGUCGUGAAAUUUAUUUGGAAAAAAGAAGAGGCUCAGAAGAGACGAACCUAUCCUUAGCGAGAAAGAUGAAGCAGGAGGGAACACAAUCUCAGACCUUAAGCUACAGUACAGAGCUACCGUCGCACAAGCAGCAUGGCACGGGGACCAAGGAGCACAGCCGAGGGCACAGAGACACGCGCACGUCAACGCUGCGGUCUCCCACUAGGCGAAGGCACCAUGGACAUACGUCGGAGACAGGAGCGCCUCUUCAACAAAUGGUGCUGGGGACAGUGGAGAUCCAUAUGGAGCAGAAUGACAUGGAACCCCACCUCUCACCCUGCGUGACAUUCAACUCAAAGUGGACUUUGUCUUGAUCACAUCUUGCCACUGAAGAAAUGGAGGCGCAGACAGUUUGAGUUAUGUGUCCGUGGCCACCUGCGGACAGCAGAGGAUAAGAGAGGG
rnacentral:lncRNA from 1 species